rnacentral:misc_RNA from 1 species
GAUGAAGAACGUAGCGAAAUGCGAUAAGUAGUGUGAAUUGCAGAAUUCAGUGAAUCAUCGAAUCUUUGAACGCACAUUGCGCCCUUUGGUAUUCCUUAGGGCAUGCCUGUUCGAGCGUCAUUUAAACCUUCAAGCUCAGCUUGGUGUUGGGUGACUGUCCGCUUCACCUCGGACUCGCCUCAAAAUUAUUGGCGGCCGGUACAUUGGCUCUCGAGCGCAGCAGAAACGCGUAACUCGAGGUCCUCGUGCUGGCUCCCAGAAGCUAUCUUCACAAUUUUGACCUCGGAUCAGGUAGGGAUACCCGCUGAACUUAAGCAUAUCAAUAAGCGGAGGA